CCCAAGGGUGCAUGUCGAGAGGGUAGUAACUCUCGUUAAUCAAUUGCUGCAACUUUUUUAGUUGCCAACGACCAUACGUACGCCCUAGCCGCUUAAAGACCUUAAGUUAGGCUAGCGAUUGCCAAGGGAUGCCUGUAAACCGGAAGCAAUUGUCAUAUAGAACAGGACCGCACCGAAAGUGUGUUUACCGCCUAGGUGUUAAAACUUUAGUAAACUCGCCUCUAACACCCUGCCAGUCGGGCGGUGAAAGGCUAACUCAAUAGACCUGGCUAAACAUGUAGAUCUCU
rnacentral:tmRNA from 14 species